GAUGAACGCUGGCGGCGUGCCUAACACAUGCAAGUCGAACGAAGCACUUUAAUUGAUUCUUCGGAUGAGAGAGAUUGUGACUGAGUGGCGGACGGGUGAGUAACGCGUGGGUAACCUGCCUCAUACAGGGGGGAUAACAGUUAGAAAUGACUGCUAAUACCGCAUAAGCGCACAAAGACGCAUGUCUUUGUGUGAAAAGCCGAGACGGUAUGAGAUGGACCCGCGUCUGAUUAGGUAGUUGGUGAGGUAACGGCCACCAAGCCGACGAUCAGUAGCCGACCUGAGAGGUGACCGGCACAUUGGGA
rnacentral:rRNA from 1 species